CGUGGAUGAGGCAUGCAAGUCGAACGGUUGCAGGAUGAUAGCAAUAUUUUUCUGCAAUAGUGGCGGAAGGGCGAGUAAUGCAAGAGCAAGCUACCCCCCGGUUCGGAACAACGUCUGGAAACGGACGCUAAUACCGGAUCCGAAGCGCGGACAGAUGUCCGUGUCUUGAAAGGCGGGGCCCCGCGAGGGCCUGUCGCCGGGGGAGGCGCUCCUGUGCCAUCAGCUAGUUGGUGAGGUAACGGCCCACCAAGGCUUACGGCUAGGUGGACUGAGAGGUUGGUCACCCGCACUGGGACUGAGACACUGCCCAGACUCCUACGGGAGGCCGCAGUCGAGGGUCAUUCGCAAUGGGGGAAACCCUGACGAUGCGACGCUGCGUGGAGGAUGAAGGCCCUCGGGUCGUAAACUCCUGUCAUGUGGGACAAGAUGGCAUCCGCUAACACCGGCGUGCCUUUGAUGGUACCACAAGAGGAAGCCACGGCUAACUCUGUGCCAGCAGCCGCGGUAAUACAGAGGUGGCGAGCGUUGUUCGGAUUUACUGGGCGUAAAGCGUGCGUAGGCGGUCGCGUGUGUCGGAUGUGAAAUCCCGGGGCUCACCCCCGGAAGUGCAUCCGAAACUGCGCGGCUUGAGGCCGGGAUGGGUGACUGGGACACAUGGUGUAGCGGUGAAAUGCGUUGAUAUCAUGUGGAACACCGGAGGCGAAGGCGAGUCACUGGAACGGAUCUGACGCUGAGGCACGAAAGCGUGGGUAGCACACAAAGAGGUAGAUAUCCCUGGUAGUCCACGCCGUAAACGUUGCACAUUUGCCGUGGGGGGAAUUGACCCCCCCCGUGGCGGAGCUAACGCGUUAAAUGUGCCGCCUGGGGAGUACGGCCGCAAGGUUAAAACUCAAAGAAAUUGACGGGGGCCCGCACAAGCGGAGGAGCAUGUGGCUUAAUUCGAUGCAACGCGAAGAACCUUACCUAGGCUUGACAUGUGACUGCACGCCCUGUGAAAGCAGGGCUCCUUCGAGGGUGUCACACAGGUGCUGCAUGGCUGUCGUCAGUUCGUGCCGUGAGGUGUUUGGUUAAGUCCACCAACGAACGCAACCCCUGCGUCCAUUUGCCAACGGGUAAUGCCGGGAACUAUGGACGGACUGCCCCUUCAAACGGGAGGAAGGUGGGGAUGACGUCAAGUCAGUAUGGCCCUUACGCCUAGGGCUGCACACGUGCUACAAUGGCCGGUACAGAAGGAUGCAAGACCGCGAGGUGGAGCAAAACCCCAAAACCGGCCCCAGUUCAGAUUGGAGUCUGCAAUUCGACUCCAUGAAGUUGGAUUCGCUAGUAACGGCGCAUCAGCAUUCGGCGCCGUGAAUACGUUCCCGGGCCUUGCACUCACCGCCCGUCA
rnacentral:rRNA from 1 species